UAGAGGAAAGAGCUUCAUUCCCAGCUUCAGUUUCAAGAUGAUGCUGAGACUGUCUGUCCUGUUGCUUGUGAGCUGUCUGCCCUGUUUUAACAGCCAGGCUAUGGAGUCCAUUCCUUCCACCUCAGUGGUGAAAAAGCCUCAAGAAGUUCUCAGUCUGUCCUGCAGAGGAUCUGGGUUUGAUUUCAGUCAGUAUGGAAUGCACUGGAUCAGACAACCAGCAGGAAAACCCCUGGAAUGGAUGGGGCUCAUUUACUAUGAUGCAAGUAAAACAGUUUAUGCCAGCAGUGUUGAUGGACGUAUAGAAAUCACCAGAGACAACAGCAACAGCAUGGUGUAUCUCAGACUGUCAGACCUGAAACCAGAGGACACUGCUGUGUAUUACUGUGCCAAACCCACAGUGGUUAAUGUAAGCAUAGAGGCUGUACAAAAACUCCUCACAUACAGACACACACAAACACAAGAACACUGA